CCGCGUCCAGCUUUCCCAUAGGAGCCAGCCGCACCGCACCGAACCAUCCCGAUCCCAUCGCCUCAGUUAGCCACCCCCGCUCCCAAAUCCGGCGCACCAUCGUUGAAACCCUAGCCCUAGCUCCGCACCAGCCAUGGCGCCCGCCACCGGCGCGACCCGGGCCGUGGUCCUCCGCCUCGACGACCUGUCCCUCCCGCCGCGGUACCUCACCGUGGCGUCCCACCUCCCCGUCUCCGAUCUCAUCGGCUUCCUCCCCCUCCCCUCCUCCUCCUUCUACCUCACCACCGACGGCCGCCCGCUCGCGCCCUCCGCGCCCGUCGCCUCCCUCGCGCCGUCCGGUUCCGUCCAGCUCCGCCUCCGCGCGCUCCGCGGCGGGGGCGGCGAUGGCGGGUCCACCUGCGCCGAGUCCCGCGACUGCUACCUCUCCAUGUACCUCGCGAAGAAGCCCGACAAGGCCGAUCCCAACGAGGCCCGCCUCUCCCGCUUCACCUGCUGCGCGCUCUCGGGGGAGCCUCUCGCCGCGCCCGCUGUCGUGGAUCGCCUGGGCAACCUGUUCAACAAGGAGGCCCUCGUCGAGGCGCUCAUCCACAAGCGCCUGCCCAAGGCGCUCUCGCACAUCCGCGGGCUCAAGGACAUGAUCCCCAUCCACCUGCACCCCAAGCCCAACGCGGCGGACCAGGAGGUCCGUUUCCAGUGCCCGGUCACCGGGUUCGAGUUCAACGGCAAGUCCCAGUUCCUCGUGCUCCGUGGAUGCGGGCACGUGCUGAGCGUGAAGGCUCUCAAGGAGGUGAAGUCGUCCUCGUGUUUGGUCUGCCAUAAGGAGUUUGAUGAGAUGGACAAGAUGCCCAUCAAUGGGACCGAGGAGGAGGUGGAAGUGUUGAGGCAGAGGAUGGAGGAGGAGAGAGGGAAGCUGAAGGAGAAGAAGGAUAAGAAGCUGGCGAAUGGGCUCAGUGGGAGUAAGCAUGCUGCUGCUGCGGUUGCAGACACUGAGAAGUUGGAGAAUGGGAAGAAAGGGGAGGCUGCCCCAGCAAAGCGGUUUAAGGCUGCAGAUCAUGCACCGGCUCAUGCAAACAAGAAAGUGUAUGCGUCAAUUUUCACUUCUUCCAAUAAGUCUGAUUUCAGGGAGACAUACUCAUGCCGGUCACUCCCCCUGGGAAGGAAUUAAAUCGACGUUGGGGAGAUUACAAUGGCGUGGAGAUUCAUAGGAUGCCAUAAACUAAUCUUGGAAUCAAGACUAGAGUUGAUUUGGGCGCACAGGAAUUUGACACCUCAGCUGUCUAAUUCUGUUCAAAUUUAGAAGGAAUGGUGAAACAAGCUCCUAUCAAGAAGACAUCCAGAUUUAUUUCGCGUUAACAUGCGAAUAAACUCUACAGGUCAAAGGGAAAAUGGAAUGGGCUUCCAUAUGAUGGAUGUACAUGGGGGAAAUAAGUCUCAUAUCUUGGUGUUCCAAUCUCAGAUUGAAUUCUUCAACAAGAUUUAGUCCAGGAGCAAGUCUACUGAGAAGAGCAAGGGUGUCGAUCAUGAAUUUUUGUUUUAGUUGACUGUAGGUUUCAUGUGGUAUGUCUCCAGGUUCGUUCUUUGAAUUUGCUUUUUUGUUAACUUCUGACGCUAUAUAUUUUAUAUCAGUAAAAGUGUCAUCCUUGGUGACAAGAUGCGACUAUAUUAGAGCUAUUAUUAGUAUACGCUAGAUUGGAUCAAAUGUAGACAUAAAAAUGCAACAAAACUGCAAGUCCACAUCUGAUUCAACACACUUCCACUGUGUAGUGUUUGAGUGGAUCCUGCUGCCUCCUCUCGAACCAUAAUAGAGCAGUAUUAUUGUUUUAUCAUUGAAUUGUUUAUUUAUCUUGAAAGUUGAAAGCGGGUUAAUUCUUCCUUUUUUAGGCGGUUGACAUCCAUUAUGUGGCAUAGGUGAUAGGUGUUCAUUGCGUAUACAACUUAAUCCCACACCACUUUUAGCAAUGGCUCGUAAUGUGGCAUCUCUUCCACUACCAGGGCCCUUUACCAUAACUUCUGCUUGUUGCAAACCUACUGUGCGAAUAGCAUAUACUGCUGUUCUUUGAUCAGCAUAGGGUGAUGCUUGGUAAUUACCCCUCUCUCAGCCUUGCAAAGUUUGGGAGUGUGAAUUUUCAACUUGGACACCUCAUAGAAUGUUGGUUCGAAUAUUCGAAAUUGAUCAUGUAUAUAUCCCUAGCAGAUCUAAGCUGUCACUACUUCUCUUCUUUUGGUUGUCAGGAAAUGUAUUUUUGAUCUCAGCUUCUAAUGAUGAAAAGAAGCAGUCAAGAAUAAAAUUUGAUGUCCUUUGGCACCUUAUGAGAUGAUAAACAUCAACACUGAUGUUCUCAUAACUACAAAAUAGGAAUGCAUGCAUCAAUGGAAUGAAGGGCGUUGGUUGAAAACCAAAGAUUCUACAUUGUUCGGUCUAUUUAAAGGUAAUUGUACUAAACGUCCAGUUCUUACCGCUCUUUACUCUUUAUAAUACCAUCAGUGUGGCACCCCUCCUUUUUAACAUUCUUUUAGUUAGUAGCAGCAUUAUUGAAGUGUUUCUACCAUUUUGCUGGAGGUUUUAGCGGUGUUCACGAUAUUAGGCUGUAAUUGUUGCCGGCCUGAGCUUGGCAAACUUUCCUUGCUUAGUCUUAAUAUUGAAACUUGCUCGGAGGAUCCAACCAAGGCCACAUUUUUUAUAAAGAAGCAAGAUUCUAUUCUAUCAACAGGCUUUGAUGUGUCAUCAGCAGCUCUAUUACAAGUCUCUAGCGUCGGCUUACCCCAGUUUAGGUUACUGCUCUUUAUUCUUUAGUUAAAACCAUCAUUGUGGCACCCCUGCUUUUAACAUUUGUUUAGUUAGUAGCUGUAUUUUAAAAGUGUUUCUACCAUUUUGCUGGAGGUUUUAGUGGUGUUCUUGAUAUUAGGCUGUAAUUAUUGCCAGUCUGAGCAACGUAAAAUUUCCUUACUUAGUCUCGAAUAUGGAAACUUGCUCGGAGGAUCCAACCGAGGCCACAUUUUCUAUAAAAAAGUGCAAGAUUCUGUUCAGCUCUAUUAGUAGUCUCUAGCGUUGGCUUACCCUAGUUCAGAUUACUGCUUUUUAUUCUUUAGUUAAAACCAUCAGUGUGACACCCCUUCUUACUAACCUUUUUAGUUAGGUAGCAGUAUUUUUAAAGUGUUUUUACCAUUUUGCUGGAGGUUUUAGCAGUGUUUUCGAUAUUAGGCUGUAAUUGUUGCCAGUCUGAGCUUGGUAAAUUUUCCAUGCAUAGUCUCGACUAUGGAAACUUGCUCAGAGGAUGCAACCAAGGCCAAAUAUUCAGACUUCACUUUAUGGCUAAUAUCAAUAUGGAAGACACAACACUAUCCUGGCAUGAUGCUUGGUCUUUCUUGGGUGCUGCAACCCCUCUCAAGGACAGAUUCAAAGGAUUUUUUCUUAUGUGAUUGAUGACAAAAUUUCUGUCCUUGAUUUCCUGCAUGAGCAUGAUUAUACCAACUUUUUUCAGUUACCACUCUCUGUGGAGGCCAUGGAAGAAUGCAGACUCCUUGAGGGAACCCAGAACUUGCCCAUAAAUAAUACUGCAAAUAAUAAUUGGUUAUGGUCACCUGGUAAAGGUAAUUACUCUGCAAAGAGUUUUUACACAACAAUGCAUGCCCACAUGCCAGUUGAUGAGCCAUGUAAAUGGAUAUGGGAAAGCAGGAGUAUCAUGAAGAUUAAGGUCUUUGCAUGGCUGAUGCUUAAUGACAGAUUAAAUACCAGAGAUAUGCUGGUUAGAAGGCACUGGAGGCAACAGAAUGAUGAGAAUAACUGCCCUUUAUGCCCCACUCAAACCCUGGAGGACAUAUAUCACCUAUUUUUAAGUGUACCUUCAGUGCAAAGGUAUGGAAUUAUUUUCAGAUCCAGUGGACUGCUGGUCUAAACCCAAGAGAGUGCAUCCUUCAUGCCAAAAGAAGCUUUGGAUACCCUUUUUUCCAUGAGGUUGCUUUUCUGGCUGCCUGGAACAUUUGGCUUAUUCGGAAUGGAAGGAUCUUCAGUCAUGAGAGGCCUUCUUUUAGGGGAUGGAAGGAAAGGUUCAUACAUGAUGUGACAAGACCAGCUUUGUUAAACUGGAUUAACUCUCUCCCAUAGGAGUUUGUUUAUAGCUUUUCUGUAAUUAUCUAACAUGUAAAUAGGUAAAUCUAGUUUUUUCUCUUAGCUUGGCUUAGUCUUUUUUUUUGGUUUGUAAGACUCCUCAGUUCUUUAAUAAAGGUGUUGCCUCACAGUAGUCAGUCGAAAAUAAAUAAAUAUC